rnacentral:snRNA from 1 species
GUGCUUGCUUUGGCAGCACAUAUACUGAAAUUGGAAUGGUACAGAGAAGAUUACCAAUGGCACCUGCACAAGGACGACAUGCAAAUUCGUAAAGUGUUCCAUAUUUUU